CCUGCCCUUGGGUCCGGCAUAACCCCGGGAAACUGGGGAUAAUUCCGGAUAACGCACAUAUGCUGGAAUGCUUUAUGCGUCAAAUGGAUUCGUCUGCCCAAGGAUGGGUCUGCGGCCUAUCAGGUAGUAGUGGGUGUAAUGUACCUACUAGCCGACGACGGGUACGGGUUGUGAGAGCAAGAGCCCGGAGAUGGAUUCUGAGACAUGAAUCCAGGCCCUACGGGGCGCAGCAGGCGCGAAAACUUUACAAUGCGGGAAACCGUGAUAAGGGGACACCGAGUGCCAGCAUCAUAUGCUGGCUGUCCGGGUGUGUAAAAUACACCUGUUAGCAAGGGCCGGGCAAGACCGGUGCCAGCCGCCGCGGUAACACCGGCGGCCCGAGUGGUGAUCGUGAUUAUUGGGUCUAAAGGGUCCGUAGCCGGUUUGGUCAGUCCUCCGGGAAAUCUGACGGCUUAACCGUUAGGCUUUCGGAGGAUACUGCCAGGCUUGGAACCGGGAGAGGUAAGAGGUACUACAGGGGUAGGAGUGAAAUCUUGUAAUCCCUGUGGGACCACCUGUGGCGAA
rnacentral:rRNA from 2 species